rnacentral:sRNA from 1 species
CCGCUCCACCCCUCGUCCAGCGGCGCCCUUGUGCCCGCCCGAUACCCUGAUCAGGUGCGCCGUCCUCCGCGGAGUGACGGGAGCGCAUAGCCGACAGCCGUCGCAUCCAAGGGAGAACCCUUCAUG